AUUGAACGCUGGCGGCAGGCCUAACACAUGCAAGUCGAGCGAGCGGCGGACGGGUGAGUAAUGUCUGGGAAACUGCCUGAUGGAGGGGGAUACCUACUGCAAACGGUAGCUAAUACCGCAUACAAUCAGGUGUACCUCGAUGGGAUUAGUUAGUCGGUUGAGUAACGGCUCACCUAGGCGACGAUCCCUAGCUGGUCUGAGAGGAUGACCAGUCACACUGGAACUGAGACACGGUCCAGACUCCUACGGGAGGCAGCAGUGGGGAAUAUUGCACAAUGGGCGAAAGCCUGAUGCAGCCAUGCCGCGUGUGUGAAGAAGGCCUUCGGGUUGUAAAGCACUUUCAGCGGGGAGGCGUUACCCGCAGAAGAAGCACCGGCUAACUACGUGCCAGCAGCCGCGGUAAUAC
rnacentral:rRNA from 1 species